CGUCCUUAGCCACGCCUAGCCGUGCUCCCUGCCCGCCGUCCUUCUAGUUGAUUGGCCCUCAUGCUCCGACGUGGACAUCUUCUGCUAAUGGAGAUUGGCCCAUACACGAUGGAGAUUGGAAUUUGUGAAGAUUGUUUUUCAUUGGGAGAUAAGUAGCAUUUUCCGAGUCAGCUUUCAGUAGAAGUGGAAGAGUACUUAGUGAGCACCGCAGUCGUCUGACCCCUGAUUUGCUAGAGGCUUUAAUGUGUUCACAAAACUGGGAGAGAAACAAAGCUAAAGAUGAUGAGAAGACCGAGGAUGCUAGUU